CCUACGGGUGGCAGCAGUGGGGAAUAUUGCACAAUGGGGGAAACCCAGAUGCAGCAACGCCGCGUGAGCGAUGAAGGCCUUCGGGUCGUAAAGCUCUGUCCUAAGGGAAAAAUACUGACGGUAGCUGAGGAGGAAGCCCCGGCUAACUACGUGCCAGCCGCCGCGUUAAUACGUAGGCGGCGAGCGUUAUCCGGAAUUACUGGGCGUAAAGGGUGCGUAGGCGGCCCUUCAAGUCAGAGGUGAAAGGCUACGGCUCAACCGUAGUAAGCCUUUGAAACUGAAGUGCUUGAGUGAAGGAGAGGAGAGUGGAAUUCCCAGUGUAGCGGUGAAAUGCGUAGAUAUUGGGAGGAACACCAGUUGCGAAGGCGGCUCUCUGGACUGUAACUGACGCUGAGGCACGAAAGCGUGGGGAGCGAACAGGAUUAGAUACCCUAGUAGUC
rnacentral:rRNA from 1 species